AACCAUCUUCCUUCUCCAUCUGCUAUGACUUGUAGACAAUCGAAGCAGUGUAUUGUGCUAAUCAAAAGAAUAUAUAUCCAUAGACGGCACAGAAGGUGGGACAGAAUGAUAGUAUGAGGCUAGACCACAUUUUUGUGUGGCCGAUAAUCUAAUUUUUGUUCAGUAUUCUUUUCAGCAGUGGAAGCAAUGCCCUUUUUCCCCUGUUGAGAGAUCAAAUCAAAUUGCAUCGGUACGCCAUGCCCCCACCAAUUUGAUCAUGCAAACCUGAUGAAGAUAAUGUAUUAUGUGCGGCCAUUCAUGCAGAGUAUGUCUGGUUCGCCGGCCACUAUCUUGGAUAUGAAUGAUCUAAAUGAUACCAAAAUCUUAGCAUCAAUGUAACGCUGCAAUUUUCUGUGUUAUCUGAAUUUAGCUGCAGGAAUUGUUGCACCUUUGCCUUUCUUCCUUCAUAUUCUACUAGAUGGGUGCUACUCACUGUUGAAGUAUUUGUCAGUUAUACCGAUUGUGUUGUUGUAGUUUUCUCAGCUCUACCCUUUGAACUUUUUUUAUUUGUACCAUUGCUGUUAGAUAUUUUGGCGUCCGGAAAUAAUAAUAAUAGGAGAUGCUGUACAUACAGCAGCAUCCAUCCUCACUAAACAGUUGUAGUACUGGUUGUGGCUGAUCUUGUUUGCCAGGUCCUUUAUCAAUUCUGCCUGUUCUGGUCUAAAAUAUCUAUUGCUUCGUAUCCUAACUCAUUGGGUUAAUUUAGGAGGUUUCUCAUUGGAGCCAAUAGCAACCACCUCAUGUUUCAUAAUGUUUUAAUUUGUGAGUUCUGACAUUCUUCAUUAUCUGCAUAUGAAAUCUAAUCCCUCCGUCCCAAAAUAUAAGAUCAUUUUUAACACUAUUAUAGUGUCAAAAAUGAUCUUAUAUAAUGGACAGAGGGACUCUGAACCUAUAUGAGAUGCAUACAUUUAGUAUUACCAGUCCGAGCUUCAGAGAAAGACUAACCAAUACAUGAUUUUUUUUGCAAGGAACCAUACAUGAUCUCAUGGUAGUAGAUGGUUAUAUAUUUUUGCUCCACAUUGCAUUGUUAUGUUCAGAAUAUAUUCAUGCCUUAACAAUGCAGCUGGAAGCGAUACACAUGUUCACUGAACUGGAUUCUCUUACUCAACAAAAUAUAUUGUGAGGCUUGAAAAAUAAUGUCUCGAAGCAAAUGCUGGAGAGUAUAGCUAUAGUGACUAAUUAAACAUGGCAAGUAAUUUUGCAUGCCCUCUUAGUUUUAUUUUGUAUAUCUUCUUGGAGUUUUACUCCAUUAAAAUUUCACUUGAGCACAUGCAUUUACUGUAUGAGAUAUUAGUCAUGUGUAAACCUUCAGUUAACUUUGCUGGCACUGUAUUGCUGUUAUUUUCAUAGUGAAUAGAAUUGGGGACAUUGUACAUUUUGUGAUGUUAACAAGGAUCUGAGAAUGCAUUUCUUAACUAAGUCCUAUGAUCUGCUUAGUAGUGUGUACAAGAUGCUGCGUCCUUUCUCUUACUGUUGGUUGCAGAGGCUGUACCUAAAGGCUAAAAGGAUACUGGAGCUUAUGAACGUGGAGAAACUCAGAAGGGAAAAUAUUGCAACUCAUCUACAGAAAUAAAAGUUCUCGGAAUGACUUCAAACUUUACGGAGAAUAUUUUUGGAAUUAAUAAAAAAUACCGGCGAAACAAUCAACACCAGGGUGCCCACACCCUGUCCACGAGCCCCCUGCCUCGUGGGUCCCUUGAUGGUCUACCGACCUCAACUCCAACUCUAUAUAUCUACAUUUGGUGAGAAAAAAAUCAGAGAGAAGGAUUCAUCGCGUUUUAUGAUACGGAGCCGUCGCCAAGCCCUAAUCUUUCUCGGGAGGGUUGAUCUGGAGUUCGUUCGAGGUUCCGAAGAGGGGAAUUCGUCGCCGUCAUCAUCAUCAACCUUUCUCCAUCACCAAUUUCAUGAUGCUUACCGCCGUGCGUGAGUAAUUCCAUCGUAGGCUUGCUGGACGGUGAUGGGUUGGAUAAGAUUUACCAUGUAAUUGAGUUAGUUUUAUUAGGGUUUGAUCUCUAGUAUCCAUUAUGUUCUGAGAUUGAUGUUGCUAUGACUUUGCUAUGCUUAAUGCUUGUCUUUAGGUCCCGACUGCCAUGAUUUAAGAUAUGAACCUAUUAUGUUUUUAUGAAUAUAUGUGAGUUUUUGAUCC